rnacentral:tmRNA from 1 species
ACUCAUUGGACCCGGGGGCGGUACCCGGCGCCUCCACCAAAAUAUAAUGGAUGGAAAUUAUAUUUUGGUGGGGGCGAAAUAGGAUCGACAAGGGCGUAAAGAUUGCUCUUUUACUCGGCAUAGUACCACCGUUAUCGGACUAAAUGAGUAGUUGCAAAUGACAACUAUGCGGAAGCAAGUCUCGCUGCUUAAUGCAGUGCGAAUGUUUCAAACUAAGCCUUAAACCGUCGCAGGUUUAAGCGGGGUUCGAAGG